GUGGUAAACUCCAUCUAAAGCUAAAUAUCGGGGAGAGACCGAUAGCGAACAAGUACCGUGAGGGAAAGAUGAAAAGCACUUUGGAAAGAGAGUUAAAAGUACGUGAAAUUGUCGAAAGGGAAGCACUUGAAGUCAGCCAUGCUGCUUGAGACUCAGCCUGGCUUUUGCUUGGUGUAUUUCUCGGUAGCAAGCCAGCAUUGGUUUGUGUCGUCGGAGAAGCGGUUAGGAAUGUGGCAUCUUCGGAUGUGUUAUAGCCUAGCACUGGAUACGACGACCCAGACCAAGGAACGCAGUGCGCCUUGUGGCGGGUCUACGGACACCUUCGCACUUAGGAUGCUGGCGUAAUGGCUUCAAGUGGCCCGUCUUGAAACACGGACCAAGGAGUCUAACAUAUGUGCGAGUUUUUGGGUGGCAAACCCAUGAGCGGAAUGAAAGUGAAUACAGGUGGGAUCCGCAAGGAGCACCAUCGACCGGCCCUGAUGUUCUCGGAUGGGUCUGCGUAGGAGCAUAUAUGUUGGGACCCGAAAGAUGGUGAACUAUGC
rnacentral:rRNA from 1 species